GACAUUUUCAACCAAUCCGCGUGCCCUCUCACCCCAUAGGGAGAGGGGGCGGCGCCGCGUCAAAAAGUCACGCGUUGACGCGCUGCAACGCGUACGUGUGUUCGAGCCUUU
rnacentral:lncRNA from 1 species